rnacentral:rRNA from 1 species
AUACGGAGGGUGCAAGCGUUAUUCGGAAUCACUGGGCGUAAAGGACGCGUAGGCGGGUUGGCAAGUCUGAUGUGAAAUCCUACAGCUUAACUGUAGAACUGCAUUUGAAACUGCUAACCUAGAGUAUGGGAGGGGGAGAUGGAAUUAGUGGUGUAGGGGUAAAAUCCGUAGAUAUCACUAGGAAUACCGAAAGCGAAGGCGAUCUCCUGGAACAUAACUGACGCUAAGGCGUGAAAGCGUGGGGAGCAAACAGGAUUAGAAACCCUAGUAGUCC